rnacentral:rRNA from 1 species
AUUGAACGCUGGCGGCAGGCUUAACACAUGCAAGUCGAGCGGGGUGAUGGUGCUUGCACUAUCACUUAGCGGCGGACGGGUGAGUAAUGCUUAGGAAUCUGCCUAUUAGUGGGGGACAACAUCUCGAAAGGGAUGCUAAUACCGCAUACGUCCUACGGGAGAAAGCAGGGGAUCACUUGUGACCUUGCGCUAAUAGAUGAGCCUAAGUCGGAUUAGCUAGUUGGUGGGGUAAAGGCCUAACAAGGCGACGAUCUGUAGCGGGUCUGAGAGGAGGAUCCGCCACACUGGGACUGUGACACGGCCCAGACUCCUACGGGAGGCAGCAGAGGGGAAUAUUGGACAAUGGGGGGAACCCUGGUCCAGCCAUGCCGCGUGUGUGAAGAAGGCCUUAUGGUUGUAAAGCACUUUAAGCGAGGAGGAGGCUCUUUUGGUUAAUGCCCAAGAUGAGUGGACGUUACUCGCAGAAUAAGCACCGGCUAACUCUGUGCCAGCAGCCGCCGUAA